UUGGCCCAGGGAGUGCAUGGUCUCUGAUCAGCGGGGGCAUUUUCUCUAUAUAAGAAGAAGAUGGAGACUCGCUACCCACCCGAUGUAUUUUGUCGGACAGUUUUCUGUACAUUGCAGUCACAAAUAUAUCCAAAUAUCAUCACCGGUCAGAAAGUCAUUCACUCUGUUGAACUGUGGUGGAAGCAGUGAGGUGUCACUUAUUGAGAUGGUCACAGUAUCCAAUACACUGAAGUCACAGGGCACAAAUUUCAUACAUGUACACAGCUUCCUUGGCCCAGGGAGUGCAUGGUCUCUGAUCAGCGGGGGCAUUUUCUCUAUAUAAGAAGAAGAUGGAGACUCGCUACCCACCCGAUGUAUUUUGUCGGACAGUUUUCUGUACAUUGCAGUCACAAAUAUAUCCAAAUAUCAUCACCGGUCAGAAAGUCAUUCACUCUGUUGAACUGUGGUGGAAGCAGUGAGGUGUCACUUAUUGAGAUGGUCACAGUAUCCAAUACACUGAAGUCACAGGGCACAAAUUUCAUACAUGUACACAGCUUCCUUGGCCCAGGGAGUGCAUGGUCUCUGAUCAGCGGGGGCAUUUUCUCUAUAUAAGAAGAAGAUGGAGACUCGCUACCCACCCGAUGUAUUUUGUCGGACAGUUUUCUGUACAUUGCAGUCACAAAUAUAUCCAAAUAUCAUCACCGGUCAGAAAGUCAUUCACUCUGUUGAACUGUGGUGGAAGCAGUGAGGUGUCACUUAUUGAGAUGGUCACAGUAUCCAAUACACUGAAGUCACAGGGCACAAAUUUCAUACAUGUACACAGGUAGGUGUAUAGUCUUUGAAAUUACCACAAUCGACUAAUUCUGGGAUAGGUAAGUAUGUAAGUAUAGGAAAGAGAGCACCAAAUCCCCGGAUGAACACAUGGCUUUGUUUGUGAUGGAACAUUGAACAGAAUACUGAAUGGGUAGGCGUUACGCCAUUGGCUGAAAUUAGGUAUUUAAUUGUUUUCAUUUUAAAGUAAAAGUAAUGACCUUUGAAAUAAAUGAUGGGAUGAGGGAAUAUUACAGAAACUAUAGAAUUACCAGGGAAGAUUUUAGGAGUGGGGGUUGAUUUUUUAUGUAGCGUGUUAUUUACUGCGGAUCUCUAUAAGUUGAAAACAACUGCAAUUUUGACCUAUAAACGCCAUGGGACCAUAUAUUUUUUUCAGUAUUUUUUGUUAAGGCUUAGAACGAAGUUUGAAAUGAUGCUAAGGAUUUUUCUGAAAUAGUCAUAGUAAAGUACUGAGAGGGCCAAAGGUUUGUAUGGAGGUCUAUGGGAAAAUA